rnacentral:lncRNA from 1 species
CUGGUCCUGGGGGAGGGGGUUACAUUCACACAGCAGCUCAUCCCUCCAUGUGUGUGAGUGAUCUUCAGUGCAGCAUGUGUUCACCCAUGCAGCUGGAGGGGUUCAGCUUGUUUGCAGAAAACAACGUGAUGUGUUGUGCACAUGUCCUCACAGGACUGCUCAGCUCCCAGAGUUUCCUGCCCUUCAUCUGUUUAUGCCAUAGCCUUAUUGUCAAAGACUUUUUGUUUGUUUGUUUCUUUUGUUUCUUACUGGGGUCAGUAGCAAGGUGAAAGAAUUGGAUCUCUGCUUUAAUAAAAUUCACGAGUCUUUGUUUAAGCAUGUCCAAUAUACUUGUUUCUUCCCUUUGAACAUGAAUGAUAUCUCUUCCAAUGUUAAUUAACAGUUCACAAGUGGAUAAGCUAAAUAGCCAUUUAGAACUAUGGAAAUGUAAUUGCUCCACCAUCUGGUCAGCUGUAAUAUUUUAUAAUGACUAUAUGAAGAAACAAUGUUGUUUUUUUUACCGCCAGUGUAAACCACCAUGAUGCUUCCUGAGUGCCAUUGUGUAGAUUUGGAUUCUGCCCCAACAUCAUCCUUGAACUUGAAGACCAGCUUCUUGGGCAUCAUGGUUGAUGACCAGAAUUCUUGGUCUGGAUUGUUCCUGGAGCCCAGCAGGGCUGGGACUGUUCCAUACCCACUGUGUCUCCUGCACUGGGGACUGCUGGUGCCACACACUGAGUGCCUGAAAGAAGCCUUUGCCUCUCAGCAUUUCCACCGGCAUUCAUCACUGAAUAUUCAUUCCUGCUUCUGGCUCCGGGCUGAGUGUGGCAGCAGCCACCAGAGUCACACAGGCCCACACUUCAACUUCCAAAUGAGAGCAACUCCACUCCUAGAAUUUCGAAAAGCUCUCUCCUAA